rnacentral:rRNA from 1 species
CACGGAAGCUUGCUCCGCUGGCGAGUGGCGAACGGGUGAGUAAUGUAUCGGAACCUGCCCGAUAGUGGGGGAUAACGUUCCGAAACUUACGCUAAUACCGCAUACGAUCUACGGAUGAAAGUGGGGGACCGCAAGACCUCAUGCUCGUGGAUGGGCCGAUAUCUGAUUAGCUAGUUGGUAGGGUAAUGGCCUACCAAGGCAUCGAUCAGUAGCUGGUCUGAGAGGAUGACCAGCCACACUGGAACUGAGACACGGUCCAGACUCCUACGGGAGGCAGCAGUGGGGAAUUUUGGACAAUGGGCGAAAGCCUGAUCCAGCAAUGCCGCGUGAGUGAAGAAGGCCUUCGGGUUGUAAAGCUCUUUUGUCAGGGAAGAAACGGUGAGAGCUAAUAUCUUUUGCUAAUGACGGU